rnacentral:rRNA from 1 species
GACGAACGCUGGCGGCGUGCUUAACACAUGCAAGUCGAACGCUGAAGCUUGGUGCUUGCACUGGGUGGAUGAGUGGCGAACGGGUGAGUAAUACGUGAGUAACCUGCCCUUGACUCUGGGAUAAGCCUGGGAAACUGGGUCUAAUACUGGAUAUGACAUUCCACUGCAUGGUGGUGUGUGGAAAGGGUUUUACUGGUUUUGGAUGGGCUCACGGCCUAUCAGCUUGUUGGUGGGGUAAUGGCCUACCAAGGCGACGACGGGUAGCCGGCCUGAGAGGGUGACCGGCCACACUGGGACUGAGACACGGCCCAGACUCCUACGGGAGGCAGCAGGGGGGAAUAUGGCACAAUGGGCGGAAGCCUGAUGCAGCGACGCCGCGUGAGGGAGGACGGCCUUCGGGUUGUAAACCUCUUUCAGCACGGAAGAAGCGAGAGUGACGGUACGUGCAGAAGAAGCGCCGGCGAACUACGU